AGUGAACGCUGGCGGUAGGCCUAACACAUGCAAGUCGAACGGCAGCACAGUAAGAGCUUGCUCUUACGGGUGGCGAGUGGCGGACGGGUGAGGAAUACAUCGGAAUCUACUUUUUCGUGGGGGAUAACGUAGGGAAACUUACGCUAAUACCGCAUACGACCUACGGGUGAAAGCAGGGGAACUUCGGACCUUGCGCGAUUGAAUGAGCCGAUGUCGGAUUGGCUAGUUGGCGGGGUAAAGGCCCACCAAGGCGACGAUCCGUAGCUGGUCUGAGAGGAUGAUCAGCGACACUGGAACUGAGAGACGGUCCAGACUCCUACGGGAGGCAGCAGUGGGGAAUAUUGGACAAUGGGCGCAAGCCUGAUCCAGCCAUACCGCGUGGGUGAAGAAGGCCUUCGGGUUGUAAAGCCCUUUUGUUGGGAAAGAAAAGCAGCAGGUUAAUACCCCGCUGUUCUGACGGUACCCAAAGAAUAAGCACCGGCUAACUUCGUG
rnacentral:rRNA from 1 species